rnacentral:rRNA from 1 species
AGCGAACGCUGGCGGCAGGCCUAACACAUGCAAGUCGAACGAACCUUUCGGGGUUAGUGGCGGACGGGUGAGUAACACGUGGGAACGUGCCUUUAGGUUCGGAAUAACUCAGGGAAACUUGUGCUAAUACCGAAUGUGCCCUUCGGGGGAAAGAUUAAUCGCCUUUAGAGCGGCCCGCGUCUGAUUAGCUAGUUGGUUGAGGUAAUGGCUCACCAAGGCGACGAUCAGUAGCUGGUCUGAGAGGAUGAUCAGCCACAUUGGGACUGAGACACGGCCCAAACUGAGGGGGGGGGCAGGAGUGGGGACGCGGGCGCGAGGGCAAAAAGGCGGACGAGGCGAGGCGGGUGUAAUGAGGAAGGAUGUAGAAUUGAACAAUGCUUCCACGGGGGAGGAGAACGACGUACCCGGGAGAGGAACCCCCUGCAACGUGGGCCCCAGCAGCGGGGAGAAUAGGGGGAAGAGCACUCUUCUGACC